AAAAUAUAUGAGAGAAAAAAGAGAAAAUAAAUACAGGAUAUAAUCAGAAACUUUUCUGUCUUCCUGAGUAUAAAACGUUAAGAGAUUAAUAGUUUCACAUCUACAGACGGAGCACCAGACACUUCCUGAUAUUUAUUUCUUUGUUUUUAUUUAAUUUGUUGCAAGUGGAACUAAUACAUAGUCCUCCAAUGUUGCCACCCAGACUUAUUUCCACGUAAGGAAUCAGCGUUUCCAUGGUGACAGGACAAUGUGUAAAAACAGUCUGUCCAGCCCACAGUUUGGUCUGCCAACAAAUGGCGAUCAGUGGACAAGAAGUUUAUUACGUCAAUGGAGAAAAAUGUUUCUGACAUGAGAAGGUCUUGCCCUUUACUGAAGAGCAGUCUGACAAGAAAGAGAGAGAAGGGGAAGACAGGCAGUAAAUGGCCCAAGACCGGGACUAGAACACAGGACAACCGCUUUGAGGACCAUACCCUCUGCACAUGGUGCACCUGCUCUACCAACUGAGCCACCCAGCACCUCGAACAUACCAUAUCGUCACCUUCCUAAAGUAAUGGCCGAAGUCAUGUUUUCAUGUUUUUCAGGUGAAGCCUGGCCUGGAUGUACCCUCUGGUCUCCUGAAAGGCUUGUCUCUGAGAAACCUCUGCCGGGUAGUGGGUACAGAUGCCAAUGAUGUUGGUGCACAGGAAGAUGAGGACAUUAGCACUCACCUGGAGAGAGUACAGGAGUUUUCAUCAAAAAAAAAAGAAGGAAAAAGCCCACCACAUUCCUUAAGAUCUGCAUACAGAUGGAGUCUGUGGAGUCUGGAUUUCCGUUCACACACAUGCAAAUGAAUGCGGAAGAACAAUAC